rnacentral:rRNA from 1 species
AUUGAACGCUGGCGGAAUGCUUUACACAUGCAAGUCGAACGGCAGCACGGACUUCGGUCUGGUGGCGAGUGGCGAACGGGUGAGUAAUGUAUCGGAACGUGCCCAGUCGUGGGGGAUAACGUAGUGAAAAUUACGCUAAUACCGCAUACGAUCUAUGGAUGAAAGCGGGGGAUCGCAAGACCUCGCGCGAUUGGAGCGGCCGAUAUCAGAUUAGGUAGUUGGUGGGGUAAAGGCCCACCAAGCCAACGAUCUGUAGCUGGUCUGAGAGGACGACCAGCCACACUGGAACUGAGACGCGGUCCAGACUCCUACGGGAGGCAGCGGUGGGGAAUUUUGGACAAUGGGCGAAAGCCUGAUCCAGCCAUUCCGCGUGCAGGAUGAAGGCCCUCGGGUUGUAAACUGCUUUUGUACAGAACGAAGAGGUUUCUACUAAUACUAGGAGCUCAUGACGGUACUGUAAGAAUAAGCACCGGCUAACUACGUGCCAGCCGCCGCCGUAA